rnacentral:rRNA from 1 species
UACGUAGGGAGCAAGCGUUGUCCGGAUUUACUGGGCGUAAAGGGCGUGUAGGCGGAACGAUCAGUCGGGGGUGAAAGGUUCGAGCUCAACUCGGACAUUGCCUUCGAUACUGUCGUUCUUGAAUGCAGGAGAGGGUAGUGGAAUUCCCGGUGUAGCGGUGGAAUGCGCAGAUAUCGGGAGGAACACCGGUGGCGAAGGCGGCUGCCUGGCCUGACAUUGACGCUGAGACGCGAAAGUGUGGGGAGCAAACAGG